AGUGAACGCUGGCGGUAGGCCUAACACAUGCAAGUCGAACGGCAGCACAGGAGAGCUCGCUCUCGAGGUGGCGAGUGGCGGACGGGUGAGGAAUACAUCGGAAUCUGCCCAGUCGUGGGUGAUAACGUAGGGAAACUUACGCUAAUACCGCAUACGACCUUCGGGUGGAAGGGGGGGAUCGCAAGACCUCGCGCGAGUGGAUGAGCCGAGGUCGGAUUAGCUAGUUUGCGGGGUAAUGGCCCACCAAGGCGACGAUCCGUAGCUGGUCUGAGAGGAUGAUCAGCCACACUGGAACUGAGACACGGUCCAGACUCCUACGGGAGGCAGCAGUGGGGAAUAUUGGACAAUGGGCGCAAGCCUGAUCCAGCCAUACCGCGUGGGUGAAGAAGGCCUUCGGGUUGUAAAGCCCUUUUGUUGGGAAAGAAAUCUUUCAGGCUAAUACCCUGGGAGGAUGACGGUAUCCAAAGAAUAAGCACCGGCUAACUUCGUG
rnacentral:rRNA from 1 species